rnacentral:lncRNA from 1 species
CCGUCGGUGGGCUUGAGGUAUCUCGUUUGGGCAUUUCUUUAUAAAGGCGGGAAUUCCGAAUUUCAUCCUCAUCAAGGUGACUCUCAUGUUUUAAAAUGGGUUAGUGGGAUGCUAAAAAUGGGACAACUGUUUUUUUUUUUAAUGAGUUUAAAUAGUUUUAAAACAUUUUUUCAUGUAAUUUAAAACUUUGAAUGUAAACGUAUGAGAUUUUAGAUAAUGUGACCAGUGCUUUCAAAAUAGUGCCAAUUGUAAAUCUGAAAAACUGAUGUUUCAUAUAUACAUAGAUAGAUUAAGGGCAGCUUAAUUAAGUUAAUUAUAGAGUUAAUAGCCCUUAUUAUUUUUAUUUAAGGAAAUGUAGAACUUAUGUUGAGAUGGUUCAGAAAAGAAUACGUAGCACUUAUGUUGGGACGAAGAAAGUAUUAAAU